AAUAUGCACAAUGGGGGAAACCUGAUGCAGCGACGCCGCGUGAGGGAUGACGGCCUUCGGGUUGUAAACCUCUUUCAGUAGGGAAGAAGCCUUUCGAGGUGACGGUACCUGCAGAAGAAGUACCGGCUAACUACGUGCCAGCAGCCGCGGUAAUACGUAGGGUACAAGCGUUGUCCGGAAUUAUUGGGCGUAAAGAGCUCGUAGGCGGUCCGUCGCGUCUGCUGUGGAAACGCAAGGCUCAACCUUGCGCGUGCAGUGGGUACGGGCGGACUAGAGUGCAGUAGGGGAGUCUGGAAUUCCUGGUGUAGCGGUGAAAUGCGCAGAUAUCAGGAGGAACACCGGUGGCGAAGGCGGGACUCUGGGCUGUUACUGACGCUGAGGAGCGAAAGCAUGGGGAGCGAACAGGAUUAGAUACCCUGGUAGUCCAUGCCGUAAACGUUGGGCACUAGGUGUGGGGCUCAUUCCACGAGUUCCGCGCCGCAGCUAACGCAUUAAGUGCCCCGCCUGGGGAGUACGGCCGCAAGGCUAAAACUCAAAGGAAUUGACGGGGGCCCGCACAAGCGGCGGAGCAUGCGGAUUAAUUCGAUGCAACGCGAAGAACCUUACCAAGGCUUGACAUACACCGGAAUGUGCCAGAGAUGGUUCAGCCCUUUGGGCUGGUGUACAGGUGGUGCAUGGUUGUCGUCAGCUCGUGUCGUGAGAUGUUGGGUUAAGUCCCGCAACGAGCGCAACCCUCGUUCUAUGUUGCCAGCACGUGAUGGUGGGAACUCAUAGGAGACUGCCGGGGUCAACUCGGAGGAAGGUGGGGAUGACGUCAAAUCAUCAUGCCCUUUAUGUCUUGGGCUUCACGCAUGCUACAAUGGUCGGUACAAAGGGUUGCGAGACCGUGAGGUGGAGCGAAUCCCAGAAAGCCGAUCUCAGUUCGGAUCGUAGUCUGCAACUCGACUACGUGAAGUCGGAGUCGCUAGUAAUCGCAGAUCAG
rnacentral:rRNA from 1 species